AGAGUUUGAUCCUGGCUCAGAACGUACGCUGGCGGCACGCCUAACACAUGCAAGUCGAACGAAGUAGCAAUACUUAGUGGCAGACGGGUGAGUAACAUGUGGGUAUCUUCCCUUUGGCCUGGAAUAACACGAGGAAACUUGUGCUAAUACCGGAUAAGUCUUUACAGAGAAAGCUUUAUGCACCAUUGGAUGAGCCUGCACUUGAUUAGUUUGUUGGUGGGGUAAUGGCCUACCAAGACAAUGAUCAAUAGCUGAUUUGAGAGGAUGAUCAGCCACAUUGGAACUGAGACACGGUCCAAACUCCUACGGGAGGCAGCAGUGGGGAGUCUUGCACAAUGGAGGAAACUCUGAUGCAGCGAUGCCGCGUGAGUGAAGAAGGCCCUUGGGUUGUAAAGCUCUUUCGUCGGGGAAGAAAAUGACUGUACCCGAAUAAGAAGGUCCGGCUAACUUCGUGCCAGCAGCCGCGGUAAUACGAAGGGACCUAGCGUAGUUCGGAAUUACUGGGCUUAAAGAGUUCGUAGGUGGUUAAAAAAGUUGGUGGUGAAAUCCCAGAGCUUAACUCUGGAACUGCCAUCAAAACUUUUUAGCUAGAGUAUGAUAGAGGAAAGCAGAAUUUCUAGUGUAGAGGUGAAAUUCGUAGAUAUUAGAAAGAAUACCGAUUGCGAAGGCAGCUUUCUGGAUCAUUACUGACACUGAGGAACGAAAGCAUGGGUAGCGAAGAGGAUUAGAUACCCUCGUAGUCCAUGCCGUAAACGAUGUGUGUUAGACGUUGGAAAUUUAUUUUCAGUGUCGCAGCGAAAGCAAUAAACACACCGCCUGGGGAGUACGACCGCAAGGUUAAAACUCAAAUGAAUUGACGGGGACCCGCACAAGUAGUGGAGCAUGUGGUUUAAUUCGAAGAUACGCGCAGAACCUUACCAACACUUGACAUGUUCGUCGCGACUCUAAGAGAUUAGAGUUUUCGGUUCGGCCGGACGAAACACAGGUGCUGCAUGGCUGUCGUCAGCUCGUGUCGUGAGAUGUUGGGUUAAGUCCCGCAACGAGCGCAACCCUCACUUUUAGUUGCCAUCAUUUAGUUGGGCACUCUGAAAGAACUGCCAGUGAUAAGCUGGAGGAAGGUGGGGAUGACGUCAAGUCCUCAUGGCCCUUACGUGUUGGGCUACACACGUGCUACAAUGGUAUCUACAACAGGAAGCGAAACGGCAACGUUAAGCAAAUCCCGAAAAGAUACCUCAGUUCGGAUUGCACUCUGCAACUCGAGUGCAUGAAGCUGGAAUUACUAGUAAUCGUGGAUCAGCGUGCCACGGUGAAUGCGUUCCCGGGUCUUGUACACACCGCCCGUCACACCAUGGGAGUUGGUUCUACCUUAAGGCAAGGUUUUAAACCCUUGACCACGGUAUAGUCAGCGACUGGGGUGAAGUCGUAACAAGGUAACC
rnacentral:rRNA from 1 species